UACGUAGGGUGCGAGCGUUGUCCGGAAUUAUUGGGCGUAAAGAGCUUGUAGGCGGUCUGUCGCGUCUGCUGUGAAAAUCCGGGGCUCAACCUCGGGCCUGCAGUCGAUACGGGCAAACUAGAGUACUGCAGGGGAGACUGGAAUUCCUGGUGUAGCGGUGAAAUGCGCAGAUAUCAGGAGGAACACCGGUGGCGAAGGCGGGUCUCUGGGCAGUAACUGACGCUGAGGAGCGAAAGCGUGGGGAGCGAACAGG
rnacentral:rRNA from 1 species